CUCUGUGACUCCUACGGGAGGCAGCAGUGGGGAAUAUUGCACAAUGGGCGCAAGCCUGAUGCAGCCAUGCCGCGUGUGUGAAGAAGGCCUUCGGGUUGUAAAGCACUUUCAGUUGUGAGGAAGGUGGUGUCGUUAAUAGCGGCAUCAUUUGACGUUAGCAACAGAAGAAGCACCGGCUAACUCCGUGCCAGCAGCCGCGGUAAUACGGAGGGUGCGAGCGUUAAUCGGAAUUACUGGGCGUAAAGCGCAUGCAGGCGGCCUGUUAAGUCAGAUGUGAAAGCCCGGGGCUUAACCUCGGAAUUGCAUUUGAAACUGGCAGGCUAGAGUCUUGUAGAGGGGGUAGAAUUUCAGGUGUAGCGGUGAAAUGCGUAGAGAUCUGAAGGAAUACCAGUGGCGAAGGCGGCCCCCUGGACAAAGACUGACGCUCAGAUGCGAAAGCGUGGGGAGCAAACAGGAUUAGAUACCCUGGUGG
rnacentral:rRNA from 1 species